AUAACCGUCUUGUGUCAUCUACUC
rnacentral:siRNA from 1 species